UACGUAGGGUCCGAGCGUUGUCCGGAAUUACUGGGCGUAAAGAGCUCGUAGGUGGUUUGUCGCGUUGUUCGUGAAAACUCACAGCUUAACUGUGGGCGUGCGGGCGAUACGGGCAGACUGGAGUACUGCAGGGGAGACUGGAAUUCCUGGUGUAGCGGUGGAAUGCGCAGAUAUCAGGAGGAACACCGGUGGCGAAGGCGGGUCUCUGGGCAGUAACUGACGUGGAGGAGCGAAAGCCGUGGGGAGCGAACAGG
rnacentral:rRNA from 1 species